UUACCACAUAAUUAAAACUCCUUAAAAAUCCAAUGAAACACUGACGAGAGGGAACGGAAGAGUGAGAGCUCAGAGAAUCCCUAAGCUCGCUAUAGGCAUCUCCAUCGCCAUCUCUGCCGCCGCCUCCGCCGCUAUUGCCGUCAUCGCUGCCGCUAGAGUUCAUCUCUUUUCUGCUUCUACCAUAAAGCUACUGAGAUCGAGCCAAGGCUCCUCCUUCAUCAGCGCGUUUACAGAUCUAAUCAUAACAAGCAUUUGAGAUCAAGAGAAAGUGCCUCUUCGGUCAACUUUUCUCCGCCAAUGACGCUCGUGUUCUCCAUCGGCAUUCUAUCCCUUUUGUACACUCUUCUUUCCACUCAUUCUCAAUUUGAUGGUUUUUCCCCAAGACAACUGUGGAUGUUUUUGCAUUGGUGCUGGAAUUUGGAGGCAAAAUUUAAUUUCAUGGCACCAGAUGCAUUGACAGAAGAUCAAGUUGCUGAAUUCCGAGAAGCUUUUAGCUUCAUUGACAAGGACCAUGAUGGAUUUAUUAGCGUGGAUGAAUUGGCAACCAUUAUUAAAUCAUUGGAAGGUAAUGCAACAAAAGAAGAAAUCCAACAUAUGAUUAGUGAAGUUGAUAUUGACGGAAGUGGGAGCAUAGAUUUUGAAGAGUUCAUCAAUAUCAUGGCUACAAAAAUGAAGGAAAAUUUGGCUGAGGAGCUAAAAGAAGAAUUCUAUUUAAAUUUUAUAAAUAACUAUUUGCUCCUCGUCAAGAAGGAUCAACAGGGACACAGGGAAGCAAGUUUAAUGAAAAUGAGGCUCUCCAUAGAACGGUUCAAGUUUAGCUUUUAUAGAGCAAGUCAGCAAGGAAAGAUCAUUAUUUUACACACUUCAUGAACUUACAGCAAAUUCCAAAUUAAAGCACUACCACAGGUCCUAAAUAAGUGUCCAAAUCCAAAAUUUCACCUUAAACAGAACCUAGAAAAGUACUGUAAAGCAGCUAUUAAUUAUUCUGGCCUCCUUCUCCUGCAUAUACAAGGCCAAGAAGGCGGGUGCGAAAGUAAAUAUUAGUGCUGGUGGAACAACUCCUUUACACAUUGCAGCUGAUUAUAUUACAAUGCUAUAAUUAAAAGUUUGAUUGAAAAUUGAACUUGCUUUUGUUUGGGAUGAAGCUGAAGAAGAAGAAAAGGAAUUGGCAUUAGUGAAGCAAAAGAUUAAGAGCAGUCAUGAUGUCUUGAAUGAUCCUUGUCUUUUGAAGGAAGAAACUCCCAACAAUGAAAUGGUAAUAUGACCUUUGCUUCCGUUUUCGUUUUUCUUCUCAAGUAGAAGUAUUGGUUGAUAAAUUCCACAUAUUAAUAAGUUACUGAAUAUUGUUUUAUUUGUUUAUACUUUAUGGAACUACUUAUGGAACUAAAAUCUGUACUGCAUCGUUAUACGAAUAAUCUCACCUGAAAGUCUAUAUUUUUACAAAAACCUAAUGGUGUAAAUGCUAUAUCAAAUAACCAUAAAUAUAAUAUUAGUUAUUUUUAUG